rnacentral:rRNA from 1 species
GGGGCAGCAUGGGAGACCUCCGGGUCUUUCGAUGACGACCGGCGAAUGGGUGAGUAACGCGUAUCCAACCUGCCCUCGGCCCGGGCACAGCCCCUGGAAACGGGGAUUAACGCCCGAUAGGUGCUUUCGCCGCAUGGCGUUUGCAUGAAGCAGGCCGUGGAUGGGGAUGCGUUGGAUUAGCUUGCAGGCGGGGUGACGGCCCACCUGGGCGACGAUGGAUAGGGGUUCUGAGAGGAAGGUCCCCCACACUGGAACUGAGACACGGUCCAGACUCCUACGGGAGGCAGCAGUGAGGAAUAUUGGUCAAUGGGCGGAAGCCUGAACCAGCCAAGUAGCGUGCGGGAAGACGGCCCUACGGGUUGUAAACCGCUUUUGUCCGGGGAUAACCGGCCCCACGCGCUGGGGUCCUGCAGGUACCGGGCGAAUAAUGACCGGCUAAUUCCGUGCCAGCAGCCGCGGUAAUACGGAAGGUCAGGGCGUUAUCCGGAUUUAUUGGGUUUAAAGGGAGCGCAGGCGGGAGUUCAAGUCAGCCGUCAAAUGGCCCUGCUCAAC